rnacentral:lncRNA from 1 species
CUUUUGGUGUACGAGGAAUACAGCAUCCUCCAGGUGAGUUAAGUAGUCCUCUCCAGGGCCUCUGUCUGCUGUAUGUUGGCGGGCAUCAGAAAUGUUUGAUAUCUGUAUAUGUUCAUUGUACAGAGGUCAUAUAUGAUGGGAACUGCCUUUCUGUAUGUGUGAUAUCCUUUAAACUGGAGAGUGUCAGAGGUUAGAAGAGAUCAUAGAGAGUGGGAUCAACACGUGAGUCAAAACCAAGCUGGAGGCCUUCUCCUCUGGGGUUGAAAACAGAGAUUUACCCCACGACACGGCAGGUUUAAAGCUCCCUGUGGUGGAGGGUCGGGCCUCUGACUCCAGUAUGGGGACUGACCCUCAACCAGUAACCAGAGGCCUCAGGGACCAGUCCGUCCUCCUGUAGACUUGGAUUAGAGGAACACAGGAUGGAGUCAGGACACCCUGGGGGGAGUAAGGAACUACAGGUGUUACACUAUAUUAUAUUCUAUCAUUAGAUUAUUAUUACUGCUGUAUUUGGCUGUUGUAGCUGCUCACGUGGAGCUGAUUUCAACUAUUUAGGAAGGACUGUGACUAAUUAUUAUUGUCAUUAAUCUAAAUUGUACAACUUGAGAAUAUAUUGAGAAAUGCCCGUUACAAUCCUCCAGAGCCCACAGUGACACAAUGUUGUCUGACCAACAGUUCAAAGCUGAAAAUAGUAAAAGUAGUAAUACUACACUACAGAAAUACUGCAUUACAACUUAAAGUGCUGCAUUAAAAAAGUUCCUCAGUUACAGAAGUAUUAUCAGCACAUUGUAGUUGAAGCUCCCAGUCUCUCUCUGCAGACACUCACUCAGUCUUAUCUCACACAACCGUGACGUCACAGCCACUUCCUGUCCACAGGUUACUUUCACUUUGUGAACUCGUCGUGUCGCAGCUUCUUCUUCUGUCCAUGUGAAGCAGGUUGCUGUGUCUGUGUGAAGGUGUGGGCUCUGCUAUGGAUCAGUGUGAGGACAGAGAGGAGGGAGUCCCUCCCUCUAAAAGCACUCUGUGUGGGGAACAUGACACAAGGACCAAAGCUCAGAGGUGAG